GGGAGGUAGUGACAAUAAAUAACAAUACAGGGUCCUUAUGGGUCUUGUAAUUGGAAUGAGUACAAUUUAAAUCUCUUAACGAGGAACAAUUGGAGGGCAAGUCUGGUGCCAGCAGCCGCGGUAAUUCCAGCUCCAAUAGCGUAUAUUAAAGUUGUUGCAGUUAAAAAGCUCGUAGUUGAAUUUCGGGAUCAAUACGUCGGUCGUGCCUCCGGUAUGUACUGGCGUUAUUGGUUUCUCCUUUCUGACGAACCAUGAUGUCAUUAAUUUGGUGUUAUGGGGAGUUAGGACUGUUACUUUGAAAAAAUUAGAGUGUUUAAAGCAGGCAUUAGCUUGAAUACAUUAGCAUGGAAUAAUGAAAUAGGACGUUCGAUCCUAUUUUGUUGGUUUCUAGGUACAACGUAAUGAUUAAUAGGGAUAGUUGGG
rnacentral:rRNA from 1 species